rnacentral:rRNA from 1 species
AUUGAACGCUGGCGGCAGGCUUAACACAUGCAAGUCGAGCGAGCGGCGGACGGGUGAAUAAUGUCUGGGAAACUGCCUGAUGGAGGGGUAUAACAUCUGGAAACGGGAUAUAAUACCGCAUACCAGGCGAUGUGCCCAGAUGGGUUUAGCUAGUAGGUGGGGAAAUGGCUCACCUAGGCGGCGAUCCCUAGCUGGUCUGAGAGGAUGACCAGCCACACUGGAACUGAGACACGGCCCAGACUCCUACGGGAGGCAGCAGUGGGGAAUAUUGCACAAUGGGCGCAAGCCUGAUACAGCCAUGCCGCGUGUGUGAAGAAGGCCUUCGGGUUGUAAAGCACUUUCAGCGAGGAGGCGUUACUCGCAGAAGAAGCACCGGCUAACUCCGUGCCAGCAGCCGCGGUAAUUC